ensembl:lncRNA
GGGAGACCAGACUUCAGACUGAAUCCGCUCAUGAACUGGUUAACCUGCACUGCCCAGCAACGUGUGCUUCCAUGGGGCAGAAGUCAGGAGCUGGCGCUCUGGGAAGAGCUGCCCUGGUCGAAAGAGGAAGCUGGUGUGGAGGAUGUCGCCAGGAUGGCUGGGGCUGCAAGCGUGGAUCCCAGAAGCCCCUACAGCAGGACCACCGCAGAGGUCUCAAAAGAAAAAAAAAAAAAAAAGAAAGAAAGAAAAACAGGAAAUACUGUAAGCAGUUCAUGUCUACAGCACAGCCUGCUCUGCAAAGUGCCUGAGUAACUGUGGUCACUCCAUCCCCGAAUGCUGUUCUCUUUCUUCCAAACUUUAUGCCAAUAACCUCGCCCCAGGCCAGACCCAUUACUAUAAUACUUCUAUUAAAGUCUGCACUAAAGCUUCACGCAGUGAAGGAUAUAUAUUUUUCAAAGAGGGCAUCUUCUCGGCCCCCCUCCACGGGUUUUGAAGAGC